GCCGGUGUGGCGGAAUUGGUAGACGCAGCGGAUUCAAAAUCCGCCGCUGGAGACAGUGUGUCGGUUCGAGUCCGACCGCCGGCACCA
rnacentral:tRNA from 1 species